AACGAACGUUAGCGGCGCGCCUAACACAUGCAAGUCGCGCGAGAAAGGGCUUCGGCCCCAGUAAAGCGGCGCACGGGUGAGUAACACGUAGGUCAUCUUCCCCUGAGUGGUGGAUAACUCUCCGAAAGGAGAGCUAAUACAGCAUAAGACCACGACCUCGCCGAGGUUGUGGCCAAAGCAGACCUCUUCAUGAAAGUUUGCGCUUAGGGAUGAGCCUGCGGCCCAUCAGCUAGUUGGUAGGGUAAUGGCCUACCGAGGCUAAGACGGGUAGCUGGUCUGAGAGGAUGAACAGCCACACUGGAACUGAGACACGGUCCAGACUCCUACGGGAGGCAGCAGUGGGGAAUCUUGCGCAAUGGGCGAAAGCCUGACGCAGCGACGCCGCGUGAGCGAUGAAGGCC
rnacentral:rRNA from 1 species